UUUUUUCCGGAUAAGAAAAACAGUUCUCGUCUUUGCCCCCUUAUUGACCGCCUACGUGUGGUAAGCAAUUUAAACUAUUAAAAAUAAUCUCAACUGGCUACAAUCAUCCCACUUGACAAGUAGAAAAACAAGGCGGUGAUAUGUAAAUAGUAAGUACAUGAGCAAAUUAGCCCCAUUUCAAAUUUCCAAUAGUACAAACAGCCUCUCUGGAUGGAGAUUAUUGCACCGGCACCGGCACCGGCACGAACAUCCAACUCAAGGACAGGCCACAGAGGUGAGACCUCCCUCCUUCAAGACAGCCUGCGGUGCCGUUGCUGUGGUCCAGAGGAAGCACCGUCCCAGAUUUGCCAUGAAUUCAAGGUCAACAUUUCACAAUGCCCAGCAACAGCUGCCGCUCUUCUAGCAGAGUGCCAUUACCUGAGUAACGCAGCUUCAGAGAUAAACUUACUUUGUCCUUAUCAACAAACAGUCAAAGACCAGAAUAUCAAAAUGAUGGAUUUUCACAUAGCGAAAUACCAUGGAUAUAAGAGGGCAGCACUAGCCCCACGGAAGCACGGAGCAGAAAUUAAGCUGCAACUUGAACAUGGACCAGUCAGGUCAGCUGUCGGCAUCUCAAGAAACCCCCAGCUGGAAAAUCAG
rnacentral:lncRNA from 1 species